GACAUUUUAGUACAUUUUAAACUUAUCUUUAAAUAAAACUGCGUUUUUGAGGUAAAAGUUGAGUUUGAGUCAUUUAGUUAAAGAAAGUUAAGACUUUUCUUCCGCAAAACUAAAAGCAAAUUACUUUUCUUCCUCCCCAGAGGACUGCAUAGCACGUUUGAAACGGACAUGUUUUUAUAAAUUCUAAAUUUGUGGUUUUGUUUGUUUGGUUUUGCAGCUCAUCCAAAAUAAUAACGAUACGGUUGUGGUAUUUCCGACACAACCUGAAGUAUCCGCCCCGUUAACUCGAACUGUGUGGUUUGACAACUGUAUGGCUGCUUUGUGCGCGGAUACCGAGUUUCCCCAACACAGAAAACGGCUUCGAAAAGAAGAUAAAGCCUGGUCCUCAUUAGCAGCUCGGUUGUCAGGUCUUUGUUCCCCUGUAAAAGUUAAAAAAAAAAAAAAAAGGCUACGGAGCAACAUAGUGAGGUGUAAGUUAGCUAGUGCUAACUAAGCUAGCAGAGGAACGGUCACUGCAUGCAGCGCAGGAACUCCCCCACGCAAACGAUUUUACUUUUGUGUUAUCCACCACAUUCAGCCGAUGUUAGGGAAUGAUUUAUACGCGCCUUCCUGCUAAUACCUGAGCAGCAGGUAAUAGUUUGGUGCGUUAAAAAUAGGUGAAGCUAGCUAUCUGGCCUUCCAUCGGAAACGCCUCAUUAGUCAUCAAGCGUUUUAUCAUAACUAGCAGCUGGAUGCUGAGGAGGGGAAGUCGCUCCCUGACAGGACACAACAGCCACCUGCUCGUGUUUUGUUUUGUUUUUUUGUUUGUUUUUUUUUUUCAUCACCAGAAAUCCCACGUGUCAGCAGUGGAGUAGCUGCAACUCGUUGAUCUGGACGAACUGAGUGGUGCUUUCACGUGUCAUAACUUUGACUCGUACGGUCAAGGGAGGCGUUCACGUGCUCUGCGUUUUGUGAGCCUCGGUUCUGGAUGCGGGCUGGAAUUCACUUUAUCCCUGCAGCUGAUUCCUAGUACGUCCUGAUGCAUCUCAGUAAUCCAGAUUUGUGARAUGGGGAGUAAAAUGUCCUUUGGCAGAGGAAGCAGUGACCAAGACACGGUCUCAGGGUUUACUUCGGAGACACCUCUUCCUCACAGUUUCCUUCCCUCCUCUUCGGACUGCAAGC